ACCCAAUGGUAGGCAGCUAAACCCAGUGCCUUAGAAUUAAGUCACUGCUCCCCCCAAACCACUCCAAUAAAGUUUCUGACUCAAACACUCUGUUCCCUGCUUCUUCCUUGUGGGUUUGCAUGGAUUGUGUUGUCAGGUCCCAGGCAAUGAGCUCCUGGGCAGUGCUUUUCCCUCGGAGCAGCCAUUUGCUCCCUUCCAUUGCCAGCCUAUGGACUGCUCUGCUCUCCCUUUUCAAGCCCUGCCUCUAGCUUGUGCAGGCUUUGCAGGUAUCUCUGGGCAGGGUUGCCUGAUCCCAGUGCUGUUCCGUAACCCCUUGCUCUUCAGUGUGGGGUUUGUAUACCACAAUACAGUUGUGUUUUCUUUUUUAAACCAAAGGGAAGGGUGAAAGAAUUUGGACUAUGUCUGUUGUCAUUUCACCUUUAUUUUUCUAUCUUCUCUGUUCUUACUGUUUUUUCAGCAUCUCCUUUUUCUUUGGUAGUGAAUGGGAUGUGGUCCCUCAGUACCUAGUCUGUAAGACUUCUGGACUUUGCACUAAUGACUUUGGUUCAUCUCAUAUAUUAGAAUUUCUUAAAUCUCUCCUUCUCUCCUCUACUCCCUUCCUUCCCCCAUUCCUGUUAACUCUCUUCCUGUACACAUCUGACUACAAAACUCAGUCCUAGUCUAAGGAGCUCCAGAUUGAAUGAAAGAAGAUACAUAGCUUCUGCCUAACUUGACUUUUGAGAAUCAGGCCAGUAAUUUGAAGUUCAAACUAGCUGUUAAAUAUGAACCAUAUUAAAUCGCUCAAGUGAAGGUAGGAUACAAAAUUCAGUCUGAAAGUGCUAAAAGUUUACAAUUGCAAAUUGCAGUUUGAAGUCGCUUGCUUAAAAGGAAUGGAGAAGAAAUAUAUAUAAAAUGUGUGUGUUUUAUCCUUUUAACACAGAUGACAAAGAGAACAAAAAUACAAAGAGAACAAAGGUAUCGAACCUGGAGUAAAGAGUCAAUAUCAGACGAGAUGGUUAGGAGCAGUGGACACAGCGUCCAGGUGCGAAGCCCAGGACCUUCUACUCUCCGGCUGAUUUAGAGCCUUCGAGGAGGACUACUGGGGAGUCCGGACGAUUGUUGGACUUCGUCACAGGUGGGGAGACCCUUUGAGAUGACAGGCACCAGGAAAGCAGGACCCUCCACAGAAAAAGAGAAAUGGAAGAGAAAGAAGAAUGUUGAGAGUGAGAAAAGGACCAAAGAAAAGCCCAAAAGGAAAGUAGGAAAUGAAUUAUCCGACAGCGAUACAGAGGAGGAAAAGGGGGGAGUGGGAGGGGACUAGGGUAUCAGGGAGCACCACAAACCCCACCCCCCCAAAAUAAAAGGCUUAUCCAA